UCCAGCGUCCACCACAGCUUCUUCUGAUCCUGCACCUGCUGGUGCCACCAAGCAGGAGAACCCGGCAGAAGAGAGGAACUCACAUCAACAGACAGGACAUCCAGACACUCUUCCCUGUCAAAGCUUUUUGAGAACACAACAAAUGCGCUUGUGACAGAUGUACACUGAAGACUCUCAUAUGAAUGGGUGUGGCUGGAUUGGUCCUUGUGGUCCUUGGGGUGCUGACCUUUGAGGCUCGAGACAGCGAGAGGAAGACCCACACUGCAGCCAGGAUGGGAACACAGAGGGGACAGGGCACCAUUCAGAGUGGAGGGAGUCGUGGAGCCCAUCUGAUGACCCAGGAGGUGGUGAAGGACAGUCUGGACCACAGGUAGGGAGACUGCCUGCUGAUGUGUCCAGGGCAGUGAACAAGAUUUGGGUGCAGGGAGUGUCUGAGUGCUCCCUAUGCAGGGCUCUUCCUCCAUUAAAUGUCUGUUUUCUCUCUUUAUCUGUGCCAAAUGUCUGUAAUGACCCACCUUGUAUUCUCACAUGAGCAUCCUUCCCACAUGGCUGUAUUGAGAGUCCACACAUCAAAAACCUCAUGCCCUCUUCCACUGUUUUGUAAUAAAACAUUCUUUAUUUCUAAUCACAUUACCAGAUGAGCAUUAUUGAAUCUAUAUCUCAUGAGUUCACAAGGUUAACAUGGAUUCAAUAACUGAUUAAAUGAACUAUGUCAGAUAGAUGCAAACCGAUGCCACCACCCUCUCUGUUUCCAAAGUCCCUACCGUCUCCAUGAGAUGCCCUGUGUGCCAUUUCCCCAGAAAGAUCAUCCCUUGAAGGGACAGCCUGGUGGUGUGCUGCUCUGAUAACACCUGUUUAGAGAUUUCUGACUUGUGGUGUUUGCCAAUUAGCGUGGUGUAAAUUCUCCCUUCAUGACCAACCCAAAAUGCCAAUGUGACUUCACCGAGUACAGAGUUGGGAGAUGGCAGAAUCACUGUCACCACCGAGUAAGAGCCAUCUGCCCCACACCUCCCCACAUGCUCUCUGUUGACCUGCAUUUCAUCAUCUUUUAGAUAAUGAUCAUUUCUAUUGCAUUGUGAGUGCAGUGUCAGUGAAAUUGUGACAACAGAAUCCCAGAUAAUCACACAACAGUCAAGAGAAAAGAUAUCAAUUUUGAGACAAAUGGAUGCAGAAUUCAAGUACACUUGUGGUGGAGGUAAAAAUUACUUCAACUGUUUGGGGAGUACAUUGGAAUUAUCUAUGUAAAAGGAGGGGACACAGAGUUAUAAUCAUAACAUACAGAUGGUGGAGAAGCUGUAUAUGAAGGCACCAGUUGCACUCACAAGAACA